rnacentral:rRNA from 1 species
AUUGAACGCUGGCGGCAUGCUUUACACAUGCAAGUCGAACGGUAACAGGCCUUCGGGUGCUGCCGAGUGGCGCACGGGUGAGUAAUGCAUCGGAACGUGCCCAGAGGUGGGGGAUAACGCAGCGAAAGCCGUGCUAAUAUCGCAUGUGAUCUGAGGAUGAGAGCGGGGGACAAGGCAGCAAUGUUUGGCCUCGCGCCUUUGGACCGGCCGAUGUCAGAUUAGGUAGUUGGUGGGGUAAAGGCCUACCAAGCCGACGAUCUGUAGCUGGUCUGAGAGGACGACCAGCCACACUGGGACUGAGACACGGCCCAGACUCCUACGGGAGGCAGCAGUGGGGAAUUUUGGACAAUGGGCGCAAGCCUGAUCCAGCAAUGCCGCGUGCGGGAAGAAGGCCUUCGGGUUGUAAACCGCUUUUGUACGGAACGAAAAGGCUCUGGCUAAUACCUGGGGCUGAUGACGGUACCGGAAGAAUAAGCACCGGCUAACUACGUG